UUAUACAACCUCAACUCAUAUGGGACUACCCCCUGAAUUUAAGCAUAUUAAUUAGGGGAGGAAAAGAAACUAACCAGGAUUUUCUUAGUAGCGGCGAGCGAAAAGAAAUCAGUUCAGCACUAAGUCACUUUGUCUAUAUGGCAAACGUGAGAUGCAGUGUAUGGAGCGUCAAUAUUCUAGUAUGAGAAAUUAACGAUUUAAGUCCUUCUUAAAUGAGGCCAUUUACCCAUAGAGGGUGCCAGGCCCGUAUAACGUUAAUGAUUACUAGAUGAUGUUUCCAAAGAGUCGUGUUGCUUGAUAGUGCAGCACUAAGUGGGUGGUAAACUCCAUCUAAAACUAAAUAUAACCAUGAGACCGAUAGUAAACAAGUACCGUGAGGGAAAGUUGAAAAGAACUCUGAAUAGAGAGUUAAACAGUACGUGAAACUGCUUAGAGGUUAAGCCCGAUGAACCUGAAUAUCCGUUAUGGAAAAUUCAUCAUUAAAGUUGUAAUAUUUUAACAAUAUUAUAAUAAUAGUGUGCAUUUUUUCCAUAUAAGGACAUUGUAAUCUAUUAGCAUAUAACAAAUUUAUCAUAAAAUAUGACUUAUAGUUUAUUCAAAUUAUUAUGCUUGCAUUUUAACAUAGAAUAAAUGUCAUUAAUUUGAUAAAGUGUUGAUAAAUUAAAAUUAAUACAGUGCGUUAAUUUUUCGAAAUUAUAUAAUGGCAUAAUUAUCAUUGAUUUUUGUGUUUAUUAUAUGCAUUUGUAUGAUUAACAAUGCGAAAGAUUCAGGAUACCUUCGGGACCCGUCUUGAAACACGGACCAAGGAGUCUAACAUAUGUGCAAGUUAUUGGGAGAUAAACCUAAUAGCGUAAUUAACUUGACUAAUAAUGGGAUUAGUUUUUUAACUAUUUAUAGAUAAUUAACACAAUCCCGGGGCGUUCUAUAUAGUUAUGUAUGAUAAUAUUUAUAUUAUUUAUGCCUCUAACUGGAACGUACCUUGAGCAUAUAUGCUGUGACCCGAAAGAUGGUGAACU
rnacentral:rRNA from 1 species